GUCUAUGGCCAUACCACCCUGAAUGCGCCCAAUCUUGUCUGAUCUCAGAAGCUAAGUAGGAUUGACCCUGGUUAGUACUUGGAUGAGAGAUCCCCCAUUACUUUUUCUGUGGGUUGUUAAUA
rfam:Callithrix jacchus chromosome 20, whole genome shotgun sequence